AGAGUUUGAUCCUGGCUCAGGAUGAACGCUGGCGGCGUGCCUAACACAUGCAAGUCGAGCGAGAAAUAAAGGAAUGAAGCUUCGGUAGAUUUUCUUUAUGGAAAGCGGCGGACGGGUGAGUAACGCGUAGGCAACCUGCCCUGUACAGGGGGAUAGCCACCCGAAAAGGUGAUUAAUACCCCAUAACGCAAGAGAUACACAUGUAUCACUUGUCAAAGAUUUAUCGGUAUAGGAUGGGCCUGCGUCUGAUUAGCUAGUUGGUAAGGUAACGGCUUACCAAGGCAACGAUCAGUAGCCGACCUGAGAGGGUGAUCGGCCACAUUGGAACUGAGACACGGUCCAAACUCCUACGGGAGGCAGCAGUGGGGAAUAUUGCACAAUGGGCGCAAGCCUGAUGCAGCGACGCCGCGUGAGGGAUGACGGCCUUCGGGUUGUAAACCUCUGUUAGCAGGGAAGAAGAGAGAUUGACGGUACCUGCAGAGAAAGCGCCGGCUAACUACGUGCCAGCAGCCGCGGUAAUACGUAGGGCGCGAGCGUUGUCCGGAAUUAUUGGGCGUAAAGGGCUUGUAGGCGGUUGGUCGCGUCUGCCGUGAAAUCCUCUGGCUUAACUGGGGGCGUGCGGUGGGUACGGGCUGACUUGAGUGCGGUAGGGGAGACUGGAACUCCUGGUGUAGCGGUGGAAUGCGCAGAUAUCAGGAAGAACACCGGUGGCGAAGGCGGGUCUCUGGGCCGUUACUGACGCUGAGGAGCGAAAGCGUGGGGAGCGAACAGGAUUAGAUACCCUGGUAGUCCACGCUGUAAACGUUGGGCACUAGGUGUGGGGGCCACCCGUGGUUUCUGCGCCGUAGCUAACGCUUUAAGUGCCCCGCCUGGGGAGUACGGCCGCAAGGCUAAAACUCAAAGGAAUUGACGGGGGCCCGCACAAGCGGCGGAGCAUGCGGAUUAAUUCGAUGCAACGCGAAGAACCUUACCAAGGCUUGACAUGCACGGCGGCACUGCAGAGAUGUGGUGGCAUUUAGUUGGUCGUGUGCAGGUGGUGCAUGGUUGUCGUCAGCUCGUGUCGUGAGAUGUUGGGUUAAGUCCC
rnacentral:rRNA from 1 species